rnacentral:rRNA from 1 species
GAUGAACGCUGGCGGCGUGCUUAACACAUGCAAGUCGAACGAUGAAGCCCAGCCUGCUGGGCGGAUUAGUGGCGAACGGGUGAGUAACACGUGAGUAACCUGCCCUUGACUCUGGGAUAAGCCCGGGAAACUGGGUCUAAUACCGGAUAGGAGCGCCUGUCGCAUGACGGGUGCUGGAAAGAUUUUUCGGUCAUGGAUGGACUCGCGGCCUAUCAGCUUGUUGGUGAGGUAACGGCUCACCAAGGCGACGACGGGUAGCCGGCCUGAGAGGGUGACCGGCCACACUGGGACUGAGACACGGCCCAGACUCCUACGGGAGGCAGCAGUGGGGAAUAUUGCACAAUGGGCGGAAGCCUGAUGCAGCGACGCCGCGUGAGGGAUGACGGCCUUCGGGUUGUAAACCUCUUUCAGUAGGGAAGAAGCGAAAGUGACGUACCUGC